rnacentral:rRNA from 1 species
UACAGAGGUGGCAAGCGUUGUUCGGAAUUACUGGGCGUAAAGGGCGCGUAGGCGGCCAUCUAAGUCAGACGUGAAAUCCCCCGGCUUAACCUGGGAACUGCGUCUGAUACUGGAGGGCUUGAGUGCGGGAGAGGGAUGUGGAAUUCCAGGUGUAGCGGUGAAAUGCGUAGAUAUCUGGAGGAACACCGGUGGCGAAGGCGGCAUCCUGGACCGACACUGACGCUGAGGCGCGAAAGCUAGGGUAGCAAACGGG